UGGGCUAUGUAAUCAUCGUAUUGGCGAGACGAUGGUGCAAGGUAUGAUUUAUUUAUGAUUUUGAUUUUUGCAUGAAUAUUGGAGCGUAAUCCAGACAUAAAAGUAUAAAAUUAUCUAACACCACACGCACAACACUAUAGGAUGACAAAUAUUACACAAAUUAACAUGCAUGUGAAUUUAUAUUUAUGGAAUAGUUUUAGAUCAUCCAUACAAGUAAAAAUAUGUUUUAUAUUUUCUGUACGCAAAUAAAUGAUCAUGAUUUCUACCAUAAUUUUGAAUAUUCCCUUUUCUGUGUACCAAAUAUCUUUAGUGGA
rnacentral:lncRNA from 1 species